GCCGGGCGUGGUGGUGCGCACCUGUAAUCCCAGCUACUUGGGAGGCUGAGGCAGGAGAAUCGCUUGAACCCAGGAGGCGGAGGUUGCAGUGAGCCGAGAUCAUGCCACUGCACUCCAGCCUGGGCGACAGAGCGAGACUCUGUCUCAA
rnacentral:SRP_RNA from 1 species